AACGUCAACACUGAGCUCGCGCGCGACGCUUCGUCUUAAAACAAUAACACUUAUUAUCUGAAUGCGGGGGAAACGGCACGAUCUAAACGGCGUUUAGAGAGUAAAAUCGCCUGCGAUCUAGUGUCGACGAGCACAGAAGUGACCAGUACGAGCCGAUUGUGGAGCCGGAGGAGAAAAGGGGGCUAUCGCUCAGCUGCGCAUGUAGAAAACCUGCGAUUUUUAAAAAAUAAUAUAUAAAAAUAACACUCGAUGCGAGGAAAAAUAUUGAAAAAUUCUGGAAAAUACCAGAGGGUCUUGGGAUUGGGAUUCUGCGCGGCGGGGGUGAAGAUUGUGUCAUUUUGGGGUUUAUUCACGGCGCUUUUUGAGCGGGAGUAACGGACGAGCCGCUGGCGCAGAUACACGCAGUUCAGUCCGAGCCCGUGCUGCAUCAGAUUAUAGAGGAGACAUCAGCCUUUCUAGCCGGAAAGGAAUGUAGAGCACACGGCAUGACACUGAGCUGUGACACAGUCAAGUAACUGUAAGUACACCACUGGUUGAACCAUUUUAACUAUACUGGUUAUAAGAAGCAUGGUUUAGUUGAAUUAUUUUCUGAAAUGCAUAAAAUAGCGGGAGUAUAUAGAAGAAAAAAGUCCUAUAUCCUCAUGAAGUGCCUAACAAAGAGAAAACAAGAAAGUGAAAGGCAUACAGACAAAGCAAACAACACAAGUAAAUAUUAUAAUGUGGGAGGUUACAGGCUUUUGUCAGCGAGCGCUAUUUUUUUCUCUCCCAGAAGUCCAUGGGGCUCUUUUCAUAACCUGUAAUUUUACCCUUAUAGACAGCAGAUGCUUCACUGUCCUCUUGCUUGUUACACCAAAAGUUUAUUGUUAGUAUUGGAUCACCUGGUACAAUAGCACAUGUGCGUUUACUGAAUGGAACAGAUACCUGGGGGUUUACAAAAACAACUAACAUCAGAAAUAGAACAUGAUAAAUAUUGAAAGUUAGUCAUGCGUGAAAUUGUUAUUAUUAGCUUGUUAUUUUGCACUUUGCACACUUCAUGUAAAUUCACUCCCGCAUAAGAGUCAUUUCAAAGAUAGUUUUGGGCUUAACCGUAUGCAAGCUUCAGCUUACUCAUAUGGUUCUUUACAAAUUCACGUCUUGACUGAUUUGAAUUACCUAUAUGAAUCUACUUGCAAAUCUUAUAUUGAAUAUGAAAAUAGUUUUAGAAAAAUACAAUUCAAUUAGACAACUUGCAUAAAUACACUAUACACUAUCAGUUCGUAUGGUUUUCUGAAGUUAUCUGCUUUUGUCAAAUCUCUCUAAAUGAAGGUUUGGAUACAGUGAUUUUUUUAAUCACAGUGCACACUUACCUGGUAAUGGGGAUUUCAUCAGUGAGAGGCAGGCAGGUUGUGUAAGAACGGUGUGAAUAUCAUGUUUUUCUCAGAACAGGUACCAAAUUACCACAACUGACCAGAGAGUUAAGAGUAUGCAAAUAAAUUUUGAGCACUGUGUACUUCUCCAGAAAAAUCCACUGUAGAAUAGAAAUGUGCUGUUAAAAAUAGAAGACAGUUUUUAAAAAAAAGUUAUAGUUAAAUAGUGUAAGGAGCAGCAAUGUAACAUUUAUAUAAUAUUUCUAAAAAGAAACAUUUUAUAUCUUUAAAAACAGAGAUGCUCACUUAAUUUUUUGCAUUUGUCAACUUUGCUUUUCAUGAUGUAACAGACUUUUAAAAAUGGAAAACAAUGCAUUUGACCUUGAAACUAGAUAUUGGCAGCUGCCAGUUUUUUUUUUUUUCUGGUUCCCAUUUAAAACAAAAGAAUUAUCUUUACUUGACUCCUAAAAUAGAUACACUUUUCUAGAAUAGAAACACUUCCACUUGUUUUCAUACAUGAUUAUGUUAGUGAUCCAUGUCCUGCUGCAUUUGCAUAGCAAAACCAAACGGUGAGAAAUAAGUUCACAAAGCCUCAGGAAGUCUCACGUUUUAAUCAGAACUGCCGCUUGGUUUUAUCUUUAUUCUUGAUUUUAGAUUCUAAUGUCCUGAGCAAGCCUUUUUAUUUUUUGUCCUCGAAGUCAAUUUGACAUCAUUUCAUUAAAGCAGGUAGUCAUACUGACACUAAUUACUCAUCGUCUUUUUAUUGAUCCUGUGUUUUCAGGUUGCGAGAUGCGGAGCAUGUCUGUGCGGCGGUGUGGGUGCUCGUGCGCUCGGCGCGGGGCCUGUCGGUACUGUAGCAGCACAGAAUGGUUUGUGAGUUAUAACGGGGGUGCAGGCCGUACUGUGCUGCGGCAAGAACGACAGGACAUACGCGCAGGUCACAUUCAAACGAGUGAACAGACAGCAGCAGCAGCAAGACUACGUGUGCCGGCGAGUCUCCUGAACUUGGCCGUGUGACUGACUGGCUGCCUGGCUGUAGCAGCACGUAAAUAUUGGAGUCAAAGCACUAGCGAAUCCUCCAGUAUUGACCGUGCUGCUGGAGUUAGGCGGGCCGUUUACCGUCUGCGGCGGCCUGUGUGCUUCGGGAUCACUCAUCAGGAAAGCACAAGAAGAUGAACGACUGACUGAUAACAUACUGUGCACAUGCCGGUGUUCUGAACGCUUUUAUUCUGAGAACGGAUGACAUGGAAUUUAAUAAAACAUCAAAUAAGCUGUAUAAUUAUGUAAUUUCAGUUUAAACGAGUCAGAUGCUUCUCUAAAAGUGCUUGGAGCUCGUUGAUACAAUUUAUGUACAUGGAAAAAUACAAUAAAGGAAAAUAACAUUAAAAUCA